ACAGGGAUUGCCCUAGUAACGGCGAGUGAAGCGGCAACAGCUCAAAUUUGAAAUCUGGCGUCUUCGGCGUCCGAGUUGUAAUUUGCAGAGGGCGCUUUGGCAUUGGCAGCGGUCCAAGUUCCUUGGAACAGGACGUCACAGAGGGUGAGAAUCCCGUACGUGGUCGCUAGCCUUUACCGUGUAAAGCCCCUUCGACGAGUCGAGUUGUUUGGGAAUGCAGCUCUAAAUGGGAGGUAAAUUUCUUCUAAAGCUAAAUACUGGCCAGAGACCGAUAGCGCACAAGUAGAGUGAUCGAAAGAUGAAAAGCACUUUGGAAAGAGAGUUAAAAAGCACGUGAAAUUGUUGAAAGGGAAGCGCUUGCAGCCAGACUUGCCUGUAGUUGCUCAUCCGGGUUUCUACCCGGUGCACUCUUCUGCGGGCAGGCCAGCAUCAGUUUGGGCGGUUGGAUAAAGGUCUCUGUCAUGUACCUCUCUUCGGGGAGAUCUUAUAGGGGAGACGACAUGCAACCAGCCUGGACUGAGGUCCGCGCAUCUGCUAGGAUGCUGGCGUAAUGGCUGUAAGCGGCCCGUCUUGAAACACGGACCAAGGAGUCUAACAUCUAUGCGAGUGUUUGGGUGUCAAGCCCGAGCGCGUAAUGAAAGUGAACGGAGGUGGGAACCUUUCGGGGUGCACCAUCGACCGAUCCUGAUGUCUUCGGAUGGAUUUGAGUAAGAGCAUAGCUGUUGGGACCCGAAAGAUGGUGAACUAUGCUUGAAUAGGGUGAAGCCAGAGGAAACUCUGGUGGAGGCUCGCAGCGGUUCUGACGUGCAAAUCGAUCGUCAAAUUUGGGCAUAGGGGCGAAAGACUAAUCGAACUAUCUAGUAGCUGGUUCCUGCCGAAGUUUCCCUCAGGAUAGCAGUAACGUUUUCAGUUUUAUGAGGUAAAGCGAAUGAUUAGAGGCCUGGGGGUUGAAACAACCUU
rnacentral:rRNA from 1 species